rnacentral:rRNA from 1 species
GGAGAAAUUCCAAUCGAACCUGGAGAUAGCUGGUUCUCUCCGAAAUAGCUUUAGGGCUAGCCUCAAGUGAUGAUUAUUGGAGGUAGAGCACUGUUUGGACGAGGGGCCCCUCUCGGGUUACCGAAUUCAGACAAACUCCGAAUGCCAAUUAAUUUAACUUGGGAGUCAGAACAUGGGUGAUAAGGUCCGUGUUCGAAAGGGAAACAGCCCAGACCACCAGCUAAGGUCCCAAAAUAUAUGUUAAGUGGAAAAGGAUGUGGCGUUGCCCAGACAACUAGGAUGUUGGCUUAGAAGCAGCCAUCAUUUAAAGAGUGCGUAAUAGCUCACUAGUCGAGUGACACUGCGCCGAAAAUGUACCGGGGCUAAACAUAUUACCGAAGCUGUGGAUUGUCCUUUGGACAAUGGUAGGAGAGCGUUCUAAGGGCGUUGAAGCAUGAUCGUAAGGACAUGUGGAGCGCUUAGAAGUGAGAAUGCCGGUGUGAGUAGCGAAAGACGGGUGAGAAUCCCGUCCACCGAUUGACUAAGGUUUCCAGAGGAAGGCUCGUCCGCUCUGGGUUAGUCGGGUCCUAAGCUGAGGCCGACAGGCGUAGGCGAUGGAUAACAGGUUGAUAUUCCUGUACCACCUAUAAUCGUUUUAAUCGAUGGGGGGACGCAGUAGGAUAGGCGAAGCGUGCGAUUGGAUUGCACGUCUAAGCAGUAAGGCUGAGUAUUAGGCAAAUCCGGUACUCGUUAAGGCUGAGCUGUGAUGGGGAGAAGACAUUGUGUCUUCGAGUCGUUGAUUUCACACUGCCGAGAAAAGCCUCUAGAUAGAAAAUAGGUGCCCGUACCGCAAACCGACACAGGUAGUCAAGAUGAGAAUUCUAAGGUGAGCGAGCGAACUCUCGUUAAGGAACUCGGCAAAAUGACCCCGUAACUUCGGGAGAAGGGGUGCUCUUUAGGGUUAACGCCCAGAAGAGCCGCAGUGAAUAGGCCCAAGCGACUGUUUAUCAAAAACACAGGUCUCUGCUAAACCGUAAGGUGAUGUAUAGGGGCUGACGCCUGCCCGGUGCUGGAAGGUUAAGAGGAGUGGUUAGCUUCUGCGAAGCUACGAAUCGAAGCCCCAGUAAACGGCGGCCGUAACUAUAACGGUCCUAAGGUAGCGAAAUUCCUUGUCGGGUAAGUUCCGACCCGCACGAAAGGCGUAACGAUUUGGGCACUGUCUCAACGAGAGACUCGGUGAAAUCAUAGUACCUGUGAAGAUGCAGGUUACCCGCGACAGGACGGAAAGACCCCGUGGAGCUUUACUGUAGCCUGAUAUUGAAAUUCGGCACAGCUUGUACAGGAUAGGUAGGAGCCUUUGAAACGUGAGCGCUAGCUUACGUGGAGGCGCUGGUGGGAUACUACCCUAGCUGUGUUGGCUUUCUAACCCGCACCACUUAUCGUGGUGGGAGACAGUGUCAGGCGGGCAGUUUGACUGGGGCGGUCGCCUCCUAAAAGGUAACGGAGGCGCUCAAAGGUUCCCUCAGAAUGGUUGGAAAUCAUUCAUAGAGUGUAAAGGCAUAAGGGAGCUUGACUGCGAGACCUACAAGUCGAGCAGGGUCGAAAGACGGACUUAGUGAUCCGGUGGUUCCGCAUGGAAGGGCCAUCGCUCAACGGAUAAAAGCUACCCCGGGGAUAACAGGCUUAUCUCCCCCAAGAGUUCACAUCGACGGGGAGGUUUGGCACCUCGAUGUCGGCUCAUCGCAUCCUGGGGCUGUAGUCGGUCCCAAGGGUUGGGCUGUUCGCCCAUUAAAGCGGUACGCGAGCUGGGUUCAGAACGUCGUGAGACAGUUCGGUCCCUAUCCGUCGUGGGCGUAGGAAAUUUGAGAGGAGCUGUCCUUAGUACGAGAGGACCGGGAUGGACAUACCUCUGGUGUACCAGUUGUCGUGCCAACGGCAUAGCUGGGUAGCUAUGUGUGGACGGGAUAAGUGCUGAAAGCAUCUAAGCAUGAAGCCCCCCUCAAGAUGAGAUUUCCCAACUUCGGUUAUAAGAUCCCUCAAAGAUGAUGAGGUUAAUAGGUUCGAGGUGGAAGCAUGGUGACAUGUGGAGCUGACGAAUACUAAUCGAUCGAAGACUUAAUCAA